rnacentral:rRNA from 1 species
UGGGGAAUUUUGCACAAUGGGGGAAACCCUGAUGCAGCGACGCCGCGUGAUUUAGAAGGCCUUCGGGUUGUAAAAAUCUUUUGUAUGGGAAGAAAAUGACAGUACCAUACGAAUAAGGACCGGCUAAUAACGUGCCAGCAGCCGCGGUAAUACGUAAGGUCCGAGCGUUGUCCGGAAUCAUUGGGCGUAAAGGGUACGUAGGCGGAUAAGCAAGUUAGAAGUGAAAUCCUAUAGCUCAACUAUAGUAAGCUUUUAAAACUGCUCAUCUUGAGGUAUGGAAGGGAAAUUGGAAUUCCUAGUGUAGCGGUGAAAUGCGCAGAUAUUAGGAGGAAUACCGGUGGCGAAGGCGACUUUCUGGCCAUAUACUGACGCUGAGGUACGAAAGCGUGGGUAGCAAACAGG